AGUCACUAUGAAGAUGUAAUAUCAAAAUUCAAAAAUUUUUGAUCAGUAUGCAGCAAUGAAUACUGUAAAAUAUAUAUUUCUGUUAGUUGCCGGUUUUGCGGUUGUCUCGAUCUCCAAUGUCAUAGCUGUGCCAUCAGGUAGUCGUGAAACUAACCAUGAAGAGCUUUGGCCGAAAAUAAAACUGCAACCUCUUCUUCAGUUGUGUCUUGAAGUAUAUGAAUUACUUGGGCCCUGGUUUCCAGGAGGCUAAAAUGCAGUUAAAAUGAGCUGUGGCACAAGAAGAUUAUGUUUAUAAGAAUUUAUGGCACAAUAUAUUCGGCAAACUUCAGUUAUCGCACAAAUGUAUAGUAAAUUAUCUAUAUUGUAAAAAAUUAACAAAAUAAUAUUUUUGGUGUCGGGAUACAAAAUAUAAUAUGCGAUUAUUGUUUUAUUAUCAUACAUCGAAAUAUAUCUUGUAUUAAUAAAUGUCAGUGCUAUAUAUUAACGUUUAUCUCGCAAAAAUUAAAAAUUGUUAGUUUCAUUUA